CGAACGCUGGCGGCAGGCUUAACACAUGCAAGUCGAAGGAGAAGCUGGACUUCGGUUCAGUGGAAACUGGCGCACGGGUGAGUAACGCGUGGGGAUAUGCCCAAAGGUACGGAAUAACCGUUGGAAACGACGGCUAAUACCGUAUGUUCCCUCAGGGGAAAAGCUUCGGCGCCUUUGGAUUAUCCCGCGUCCGAUUAGCUAGUUGGUGAGAUAACAGCUCACCAAGGCUCCGAUCGGUAGCUGGUCUGAGAGGACGAUCAGCCACACUGGGACUGAGACACGGCCCAGACUCCUACGGGAGGCAGCAGUGGGGAAUAUUGGACAAUGGGGGCAACCCUGAUCCAGCCAUGCCGCGUGAGUGAAGAAGGCCCUAGGGUUGUAAAACUCUUUCAGCGGGGAAGAUGAUGACGGUACCCGCAGAAGAAGCCCCGGCUAACUCCGUGCCAGCAGCCGCGGUAAUACGGAGGGGGCUAGCGUUGCUCGGAAUUACUGGGCGUAAAGGGCGCGUAGGCGGACUUUUCAGUCAGGCGUGAAAGCCCCGGGCUCAACCCGGGAACUGCGUUUGAUACUAGAAGUCUAGAGAUCUGGAGAGGGUGGUGGAAUUCCCAGUGUAGAGGUGAAAUUCGUAGAUAUUGGGAAGAACACCGGUGGCGAAGGCGGCCAUCUGGCCAGACACUGACGCUAAGGCGCGAAAGCGUGGGGAGCGAACAGGAUUAGAUACCCUGGUAGUCCACGCCGUAAACGAUGUGUGCUAGACGUUGGGCAGCUUGCUGCUCGGUGUCGCAGCUAACGCGUUAAGCACACCGCCUGGGGAGUACGAUCGCAAGAUUAAAACUCAA
rnacentral:rRNA from 1 species